ensembl:snRNA U5 U5 spliceosomal RNA
AGCCUCGAGUUUUCUCUUCAUUGUCGCAUAAAUCUUUCGCCUUUUACUAAAGAUUUCCGUGGAGGGGAGCUUAUGAAAGGACCUGUAGCUUUGGGGGCUCUGCUCACAGCAGAGCU